AACCCCUCGCAUCUAAACGAUCAUUCUUCAAACCCGGAUCAGUCAAACGAUGACAGACUCUGAACGUCAGUUGAGGAUAAGGGAACGAUGAAUGAGAGCAAGAAGAAAAAGUAGUGGGAUAUUCUAGCCAAAACAAGAGUUUAUGCGAUCUCAAUUCCUAAAAUUAUAUAUUUCUAUAUUAUUGUUAAUCAUUACUACAAUCUUGAGUUUCUUGAAUUUCUUUAUAGUUUUCUGAAUUCUAGAACGGUGACCCGACCAACCAAUUAUAACCCUAGUUUACACACAUGUUGGAUACAUGAAUUCAAUUUACUAGGUUUAUAGCUAACGAA